CCUACGGGGGGCUGCAGUGGGGAAUAUUGCACAAUGGAGGAAACUCUGAUGCAGCGACGCCGCGUGAGGGAAGAAGGUUUUCGGAUUGUAAACCUCUGUCAUCGGGGACGAAAAUGACGGUACCCGAGGAGGAAGCCACGGCUAACUACGUGCCAGCAGCCGCGGUAAUACGUAGGUGGCAAGCGUUGUCCGGAAUUACUGGGUGUAAAGGGAGCGUAGGCGGGAAGGCAAGUUGAUUGUCUAAACUAUGGGCUCAACCCAUAGUCGCGAUCAAAACUACUUUUCUUGAGUGAAGUAGAGGCAAGCGGAAUUCCUAGUGUAGCGGUGAAAUGCGUAGAUAUUAGGAGGAACACCAGUGGCGAAGGCGGCUUGCUGGGCUUUAACUGACGCUGAGGCUCGAAAGCGUGGGGAGCAAACAGGAUUAGAUACCCCAGUAGUC
rnacentral:rRNA from 1 species